rnacentral:rRNA from 1 species
CCCCCUGGACAAAGACUGACGCUCAGAUGCGAAAGCGUGGGUAGCAAACAGGAUUAGAUACCCUGGUAGUCCACGCCGUAAACGCUGUCUACUUGGAGGUUGAGGUUUUAGACUUUGGCUUUCGGCGCUAACGCAUUAAGUAGACCGCCUGGGGAGUACGGCCGCAAGGUUAAAACUCAAAUGAAUUGACGGGGGCCCGCACAAGCGGUGGAGCAUGUGGUUUAAUUCGAUGCAACGCGAAGAAUCUUACCUACUCUUGACAUCCAGCGAAGCCUUUAGAGAUAGAGGCGUGCCUUCGGGAGCGCUGAGACAGGUGCUGCAUGGCUGUCGUCAGCUCGUGUUGUGAAAUGUUGGGUUAAGUCCCGCAACGAGCGCAACCCUUAUCCUUGUUUGCCAGCACGUAAUGGUGGGAACUCCAGGGAGACUGCCGGUGAUAAACCGGAGGAAGGUGGGGACGACGUCAAGUCAUCAUGGCCCUUACGAGUAGGGCUACACACGUGCUACAAUGGCAGAUACAGAGGGCAGCGAGACAGCGAUGUUUAGCGAAUCCCUUAAAGUUUGUCGUAGUCCGGAUUGGAGUCUGCAACUCGACUCCAUGAAGUCGGAAUCGCUAGUAAUCGUGGAUCAGAAUGCCACGGUGAAUACGUUCCCGGGCCUUGUACACACCGCCCGU